rnacentral:tmRNA from 1 species
CAUACAGCUCGCUCCAAGCACCCUGCCACUCGGGCGGCGCGGAGUUAACUCAGUAGAGCUGGCUAAGCAUGUAGAACCGAUAGCGGAGAGCUGGCGGACGGGGGUUCAAAUCCCCCCGGCUCCACCA